GGUUAUGUUUCCCAGAAAUCAAAUAUAGUUACAAGAGAAAACUUACGAAAAUUUUUAGCAGAGGCCCGUGAUUAAUGUACCUAAUGUCAAAGGUAUAUUUUUUAUUCGAACCUGGUUGUAGGAGUAUGCGGAAUGGAAGAAUUUGAACAAUUUUCUUGUAUCUACAUAACCUAUAAUAAGCUUUUAUUAUUAUUACAGAACAGAUUAUUAGCUUACAUGCCCAUUUUAAAUGAAAAAAGAUCUGCAGCAAUUGCAAAAUAGAGAUGGAUAGCUAUAAUAACAAGAACUUUACAUGCAUUCGACCGAACUUGCAAAAACUGGCAGAUAAUAUAUCAAAUUUAUUACCCAAAAACUCAGCCACAGUUUAUGAAAAGCGGUAUGAAAAUUUUUUUUUUGGCGCAGAAACAACCAUGCGAAAUACAUGGAGAACACCUCAUUGCAUACGAGUAUUUCGCUGGAAAAGCAAAUUCUGUGAAAUCUUUAACACUUUGGGUGCAUAG